rnacentral:tRNA from 1 species
GGGAAGUAGCUCAGCUUGGUAGAGCACUUGGUUUGGGACCAAGGGGUCGCAGGUUCGAAUCCUGU